rnacentral:rRNA from 1 species
UAGGGAAUCUUCCACAAUGGACGCAAGUCUGAUGGAGCAACGCCGCGUGAGUGAAGAAGGGUUUCGGCUCGUAAAGCUCUGUUGUUAAAGAAGAACGUGGGUAAGAGUAACUGUUUACCCAGUGACGGUAUUUAACCAGAAAGCCGCGGCUAACUACGUGCCA